rnacentral:rRNA from 1 species
UUACCCACCUUUGACAUGACUCGAAUCCUUUAGAGAGAGUGCCUUGCGGGAAAGAGAACCAGCACACAGGUGGUGCAUGUCAGUUGUCAUCUUGUGUCGUGAGAUGUUGGGUUAAAUCCAGCAACGACCGCAACCCUUGUCAUUAGCUGGUAAGAAAGGGCACUCUAAGGAGACUGCCGGUGACAAACCGGAGGAAGGUGGGGAUGACGUCAAGUCCUCAUGGCCCUUAUAGGUGGGGCUACACACGUCAUACAAUGGCCGGUACAAAGGGUCGCAAACCCGCGAGGGGGAGCUAAUCCAUCAAAGCCGGUCGUAGUCCGGAUCGCAGUCUGCAACUCGACUGCGUGAAGUCGGAAUCGCUAGUA